rnacentral:rRNA from 1 species
GGGCCCGCACAAGCGGUGGAGCAUGUGGUUUAAUUCGAUGAUACGCGAGGAACCUUACCAGGGCUUAAAUGUAAGUUGCAUAGAUCAGAGAUGGUCUUUUCUUCGGACUACUUACAAGGUGCUGCAUGGUUGUCGUCAGCUCGUGCCGUGAGGUGUCAGGUUAAGUCCUAUAACGAGCGCAACCCCUACCGUUAGUUGCCAGCGUGUAAUGACGGGAACUCUAACAAGACUGCCGGUGCAAACCGUGAGGAAGGUGGGGAUGACGUCAAAUCAUCACGGCCCUUACGUCCUGGCCACACACGUGCUACAAUGGCCGGUACAGAGAGCAGCCACUACGCGAGUAGGAGCGAA